ensembl:misc_RNA Metazoa_SRP Metazoan signal recognition particle RNA
GCUGGUCCCAGUGGUGCGUGCCUGUAGUCCCAGCUACUCAGGAAGCUGAGGUGGGAGGAUUGCUUGAGCCCAGGAGUUCUGGGCUGUAGUGUGCUAUGCUGAUCAGGUGGCUGCACUAAGUUUGGCAUCAAUAUGGUGACCUCCCGGGAGUGGGGGACCACCAGGUUGCCUAAGGUGGAGUGAACUGGCCCAGGUCGGAAACAGAGCAGGUCAAAACUCCUGUGCUGAUCAGUGCUGAUCCUGGUGCCUGUGAAUAGCCACUGCACUCCAGCCUGGGCAACAUAGCGAGACCCUGUCUCUA